AGUGCUGAAAGCAUCUAAGCACGAAACUUGCCUUGAGAUGAGUUCUCCCUGUCUUUGAGACAGUAAGGGUUGUUUAAGACUAAGACGUAGAUAGGUCUGGUGUGUAAGCGGUGCGAGCCGUUGAGCUAACAGAUACUAAUUGCCCGAGAGGCUUAACUAUACAACGCUCAAGGGUUUUG
rnacentral:rRNA from 1 species